UUAGAGAUGGAAUAUCUUUGUUUUGAAUUCCAUCCUAUCAAAGCCUUCUUCGUCUAUAGGUGUUAUAAUUCAGAGUUCUUCACUUUGAUCACAUCUUAUUGACCUGAAGGGAUUAUAUCACUCCCUUUCAGUUUUAGCCCUCCUAGAUAACAAAUUUGAGGACCUUAAUUUCACCAAUAUGUCACAUACUUCGAACUCAUCUCUCCUUAAAUUCUUACCCAUUUGCUAAGUUCUUUCAAUUUUAGUUUUAUCCAGGAGGCCUAAAGAUAACAAUCUUGGAUAAAUUUUCCUUGCAGUCUUGGAGACAUGGUUACUGGAAUCUACAUCUAGACUUAAAUCUCAUGUACACACAUCUAGCGUAGGUUAAAUCACGUAAGGGUAAAAAAUGUAUUUACUAUAAGCCUUAUUAGUUCCAAAGAAGCCUGUAGCAUGUUGGCUUGAGUUGUAGGAACGUUUAUCUCAUAUGAUUAUUGUUCC
rnacentral:lncRNA from 1 species